rnacentral:lncRNA from 1 species
CACACACAUUGCAUACAUACAUACACACACACACACACACUGCAUACAUACACACACACACACACGACAUACAUACAUACACACAUACACACACACACACACACUGCAUACACACACACUGCAUACACACUCACACACAUACUCACACGGACAUACACACUCUCACACACGGACAUACACUCACACACACCCUGCAUACAUACAUACAUACACACACACACUGCAUACAUACACACAUACACACACUGCAUACAUACAUACACACACACACACACACACACACACACACACACACACACACACACACACACACUGGUCAGAUGCACACACUGCACUCACACGGACAUACACACUCUCACACACUGACAUACACUCACACACACCCUGCAUACAUACAUACACUGCAUACAUAAUCAAAUUGUACAACUUAAGUUGGUUCAAACUUACACACAAUACACACACACACUACACAAACACACACACACACA